CCUACGGGAGGCAGCAGUGAGGAAUAUUGGUCAAUGGGCGGAAGCCUGAACCAGCCAAGUCGCGUGAGGGAAUAAGGCCCUACGGGUUGUAAACCUCUUUUGCCGGGGAGCAAGCGCGGGGACGUGUCCCGGCGUGGAGAGUACCCGGAGAAAAAGCAUCGGCUAACUCCGUGCCAGCAGCCGCGGUAAUACGGAGGAUGCGAGCGUUAUCCGGAUUUAUUGGGUUUAAAGGGUGCGUAGGCGGGCUUUCGAGUCAGCGGUAAAAAUUCGGGGCUCAACCCCGUCCGGCCGUUGAAACUGGCGGCCUUGAGUGGGCGAGAAGAAUGCGGAAUGCGUGGUGUAGCGGUGAAAUGCAUAGAUAUCACGCAGAACCCCGAUUGCGAAGGCAGCCUUCCGGCGCCCUACUGACGCUGAGGCACGAAAGUGCGGGUAUCGAACAGGAUUAGAUACCCUUGUAGUC
rnacentral:rRNA from 1 species